rnacentral:rRNA from 1 species
UACGUAGGGGGCGAGCGUUGUCCGGAAUUAUUGGGCGUAAAGGGUUCGCAGGCGGUCUGAUAAGUCAGAUGUGAAAGGCUAUGGCUUAACCAUAGUAAGCAUUUGAAACUGUCAGACUUGAGUUAAGGAGAGGAAAGUGGAAUUCCUAGUGUAGCGGUGAAAUGCGUAGAUAUUAGGAGGAAUACCAGUGGCGAAGGCGACUUUCUGGACUUAUACUGACGCUGAGGAACGAAAGCGUGGGGAGCAAACAGGAUUAGAUACCCUGGUAGUCCCU